UCUUCUUUUGUCCAGCUUGCAAUUUGGCAUUUUUCUGCUGAGAAUGAAUCUUCAACUGUUCAAGAGACAUGUCCGGGCUGUAAUAGUCUUAUGUCAAACAGAACGCGCAGUCUGAAGAGGCCAGUGGAGGUCGCCGGAAGGGGAGGAAGAGGGAAGCCCGCCCCACACUGCUUCCGCCUCCUGCACCCCACAAAGAGCGGAAAGAGGAGGGGCCCGGGGCGGGACAGCUGGUGCCUCACACACCCACCCCGGCCGCGCCUCAGCCUCAGGGGUCGCUGCUGUGCUUCGCGCCCGCGCAGGUGCAAUGGAUGCUGAGGUUGAGUCACUUAGAUACCUCUUCAGAACCAAGGCACUCCCUUCCACAGCUGCCUUUAACAGUUCACAGCUGAGUCUCUCCUGAGGACUUGCCUUGAAGGAAGCCACUUCGCUCAAGGCAUAGCAGCUCCUCGGUUCAACAUCCCAUAUGCCUGCCUAGUACUGCUCUUGAACUUCUGCUAAAUCUAAUUACAUAGACCCCAGUGAGGACUACAGAGGGCCUGGUCAGCUUGCCUGCUUGACUUUUACAAGCACCCUAGUCCUGUCAAAGGCUCUGCUGUUUUAUUUCACCUCAAGAGCUGCAGGGAUAGAAUGGUAUGCCAAUGGGCAAGCAUGGAGAGAAAUAAAGGUCCAACCAAAAAUCUACUCCCCUCAUCUAGUUCCUUUGCUGUUGAUCUCCUCCUGCUCUAGGAGGUAGAGACCAAUCCAACUCAGCCUUCUAGAGUUCAGCCUCUUUGAAAUCGACAUACCCAGGUUUUAGAGGCAUGGUGGCAGGUGAUAUUUCAUUAAAUGUUUUUUUGAAUAUAUUGAGAUUAUCAUGUGUUUUUUUAUGUUAAUGUGGUGAAUUAUAUUUAUCGCUAUUUGAAGUUAAACCAAGCUUGCGUUCCUGGAAUAAAGCAAACUGAAUUGUGAUGUAUUAUCUUUUUUUUAAUUAUAGUGUUCAAUUUGUUAAAAUUUUAAAAAUUCAUUUGCAUCUGUCUUGAAGGAUAUCA